rnacentral:rRNA from 1 species
AGUUUGAUGGCGACCGGCGCACGGGUGAGUAACACGUAUCCAACCUGCCGAUGACUCGGGGAUAGCCUUUCGAAAGAAAGAUUAAUACCCGAUGGCAUAGUUCUUCCGCAUGGUGGAACUAUUAAAGAAUUUCGGUCAUCGAUGGGGAUGCGUUCCAUUAGGUUGUUGGCGGGGUAACGGCCCACCAAGCCUUCGAUGGAUAGGGGUUCUGAGAGGAAGGUCCCCCACAUUGGAACUGAGACACGGUCCAAACUCCUACGGGAGGCAGCAGUGAGGAAUAUUGGUCAAUGGACGAGAGUCUGAACCAGCCAAGUAGCGUGAAGGAUGACUGCCCUAUGGGUUGUAAACUUCUUUUAUACGGGAAUAAAGUGAGGCACGCGUGCCUUUUUGUAUGUACCGUAUGAAUAAGGAUCGGCUAACUCCGUGCCAGCAGCCGCGGUAAUACGGAGGAUCCGAGCGUUAUCCGGAUUUAUUGGGUUUAAAGGGAGCGUAGGCGGACGCUUAAGUCAGUUGUGAAAGUUUGCGGCUCAACCGUAAAAUUGCAGUUGAUACUGGGUGUCUUGAGUACAGUAGAGGCAGGCGGAAUUCGUGGUGUAGCGGUGAAAUGCUUAGAUAUCACGAAGAACUCCGAUUGCGAAGGCAGCCUGCUGGACUGUAACUGACGCUGAUGCUCGAAAGUGUGGGUAUCAAACAGGAUUAGAUACCCUGGUAGUCCACACAGUAAACGAUGAAUACUCGCUGUUUGCGAUAUACAGUAAGCGGCCAAGCGAAAGCGUUAAGUAUUCCACCUGGGGAGU